rnacentral:rRNA from 1 species
AGAGUUUGAUCCUGGCUCAGAGCGAACGCUGGCGGCAGGCCUAACACAUGCAAGUCGAACGGGCCCCUUCGGGGGUCAGUGGCAGACGGGUGAGUAACGCGUGGGAACGUGCCCAUCGGUUCGGGAUAACCCAGGGAAACUUGGGCUAAUACCGGAUACGCCCUUUGGGGGAAAGAUUCAUUGCCGAUGGAUCGGCCCGCGUCUGAUUAGCUAGUUGGCGAGGUAACGGCUCACCAAGGCGACGAUCAGUAGCUGGUCUGAGAGGAUGAUCAGCCACACUGGGACUGAGACACGGCCCAGAUUCCUACGGGAGGCAGCAGUGGGGAAUAUUGGACAAUGGGCGCAAGCCUGAUCCAGCCAUGCCGCGUGAGUGAUGAAGGCCUUAGGGUUGUAAAGCUCUUUCACCCACGACGAUAAUGACGGUAGUGGGAGAAGAAGCCCCGGCUAACUUCGUGCCAGCAGCCGCGGUAAUACGAAGGGGGCUAGCGUUGCUCGGAAUCACUGGGCGUAAAGGGCGCGUAGGCGGCCGAUCAAGUCAGGGGUGAAAGCCUGUGGCUCAACCACAGAAUUGCCUUUUGAUACUGUUCGGCUCGAGACCGGAAGAGGUUGGUGGAACUGCGAGUGUAGAGGUGAAAUUCGUAGAUAUUCGCAAGAACACCAGUGGCGAAGGCGGCCAACUGGUCCGGUUCUGACGCUGAGGCGCGAAAGCGUGGGGAGCAAACAGGAUUAGAUACCCUCGUAGUCC